rnacentral:rRNA from 1 species
UACGUAGGGUCCGAGCGUUGUCCGGAGUUACUGGGCGUAAAGCGCGCGCAGGCGGCUCGGCAAGCAUGGCGUGAAAGCCCCCGGCUCAACCGGGGAGAGUCGUCGUGGACUGCCGAGCUUGAGGGCGGCAGGGGUUGGUGGAAUUCCCGGUGUAGUGGUGAAAUGCGUAGAGAUCGGGAGGAACACCCGUGGCGAAGGCGGCCAACUGGGCCGACCCUGACGCUGAGGCGCGAAGGCGUGGGGAGCGAACAGG